rnacentral:rRNA from 1 species
CACUCCUACGGGAGGCAGCAGUGGGGAAUAUUGGACAAUGGGCGCAAGCCUGAUCCAGCCAUGCCGCGUGAGUGAUGAAGGCCCUAGGGUUGUAAAGCUCUUUCACCGGUGAAGAUAAUGACUGUAACCGGAGAAGAAGCCCCGGCUAACUUCGUGCCAGCAGCCGCGGUAAUACGAAGGGGGCUAGCGUUGUUCGGAUUUACUGGGCGUAAAGCGCACGUAGGCGGACUAUUAAGUCAGGGGUGAAAUCCCGGGGCUCAACCCCGGAACUGCCUUUGAUACUGGUAGUCUUGAGUUCGAGAGAGGUGAGUGGAAUUCCGAGUGUAGAGGUGAAAUUCGUAGAUAUUCGGAGGAACACCAGUGGCGAAGGCGGCUCACUGGCUCGAUACUGACGCUGAGGUGCGAAAGCGUGGGGAGCAAACAGGAUUAGAAACCCCGGUAGUCCCA